UGAAACAUACACGGGAAACCUCU
rnacentral:miRNA from 15 species